CAUUUGCCUUUUGUGAUACGCUUUCAAAGAGUCAGGUUGUUUGGGAAUGCAGCCUAAAUUGGGUGGUAAAUCUCACCUAAAGCUAAAUAUUGGCGAGAAACCGAUAGCGAACAAGUACCGUGAGGGAAAGAUGAAAAGAACUUUGAAAAGAGAGUUAAACAGUAUGUGAAAUUGUUAAAAGGGAACCGUUUGGAGCCAGACUGGCUUGUCUGUAAUCAAUCUAGGCUUCGGCCUGGAUGCACUUGCAGGCUAUGCCUGCCAACGACAAUUUGACUUGAGGGAAAAAACUAAGGGAAAUGUGGCCCACUUGUGGGUGUUAUAGUCCCUUARAAAAUACCUUGGGUUGGAUUGAGGAACGCAGCGAAUGCUUUUUGGCGAGUUUUCCAGGAAGGUUUUCUGAGGUACUACGGUAUCAAGGUUGAUCUUUUUGGUUAUACUUCUAUUCGCUUA
rnacentral:rRNA from 2 species